rnacentral:rRNA from 1 species
AUUGAACGCUGGCGGCAGGCUUAACACAUGCAAGUCGAACGAGUGGCGGACGUGUGAGUCAUGCUUGGGAAUCUAGCUUAUGGAGGGGGAUAACUACGGGAACCUGUAUCUAAUACCGCGUACCAUGGGUUGAGCCCAAGUGGGAUUAGGUAUUUGGUGAGGUAAAGGCUAACCAAGCCGACGAUCUCUAGCUGGUCUGAGAGGAUGACCAGCCACACUGGAACUGAGACACGGCCCAGACUCCUACGGCAGGCAGCAUUGGGGAAUAUUGCGCAAUGGGGGCAACCUGACGCAGCCAUGCCGCGUGAAUGAAGAAGGCCUUCGGGUUGUAAAGUUCUUUCUGUAGCGAGGCGUUAACUACAGAAGAAGCACCGGCUAACUCCGUGCCAGCCGCCGCGGUAAUUC